UGCCAGCAGCCGCGGUAAUACGGAGGGAGCUAGCGUUGUUCGGAAUUACUGGGCGUAAAGCGCGCGUAGGCGGUUUUUUAAGUCAGGGGUGAAAUCCCGGAGCUCAACUCCGGAACUGCCCUUGAAACUAAAAGACUAGAAUCCUGGAGAGGCGAGUGGAAUUCCGAGUGUAGAGGUGAAAUUCGUAGAUAUUCGGAAGAGCACCAGUGGCGAAGGCGACUCGCUGGACAGGUAUUGACGCUGAGGUGCGAAAGCGUGGGGAGCAAACAGGAUUAGAUA
rnacentral:rRNA from 1 species